GGAUCAGUAGGUUGGUCGUGCCACCGGUACGUACUGGUCUCACUGAUUCCUCCUUCCUGAAGAACCGUAAUGCCAUUAAUUUGGUGUUGCGGGGAAACAGGACUGUUACUUUGAAAAAAUUAGAGUGUUUAAAGCAAGCUAACGCUUGAAUACAUUAGCAUGGAAUAAUGGAAUAGGACGAUCGAUCCUAUUUUGUUGGUUUCUAGGAUUGACGUA
rnacentral:rRNA from 1 species